rnacentral:tmRNA from 1 species
GGGGCCGAUCGGUUUCGACGGUAGUUGUCCAGCGAGGGGAAGCGGGCCGAGAAGCCAGAGUCAUCUCGUAAACGUUCUCUGGAAACCAAUAAGUGCCGAACCUAAGCGCACUGACUUCGCUCUCGCUGCCUGAUCAGCGAUAGCAGUCUGGAACCCCGGGAGUGCUCCUGACCCGGAUCGUUCCAUCAUCUAAGGAGCCACUGCUGCCGACCCUCGUCAUCGGGGAAGGAUGAACACCUCAGAGUGACUGAGUCCGUCGACGACG